GACGAACGCUGGCGGCGUGCUUAACACAUGCAAGUCGAACGGAAAGGCCCUGCUCUUGUGGGGUGCUCGAGUGGCGAACGGGUGAGUAACACGUGAGUAACCUGCCCUUGACUUUGGGAUAACUUCAGGAAACUGGGGCUAAUACCGGAUAGGAGCUCCUGCUGCAUGGUGGGGGUUGGACAGUUUCGGCGGUUGGGGAUGGACUCGCGGCUUAUCAGCUUGAUGGUGGGGUAGUGGCUUACCAAGGCUUUGACGGGUAGCCGGCCUGAGAGGGGGACCGGCCACAUGAGGACUGAGAUACGGACCAGAGUCCUACGGGGGGCAACAGGGGGGAAUAUUGCACAAUGGGCGGAAGCCUGAUGCAGCAACGCCGCGUGCGGGAUGACGGCCUUCGGGUUGUAAACCGCUUUCGCCUGUGACGAAGCGUGAGUGACGGUAAUGGGUAAAGAAGCACCGGCUAACUACGUG
rnacentral:rRNA from 1 species